rnacentral:rRNA from 1 species
ACUCCUACGGGAGGCAGCAGUGGGGAAUCUUGCGCAAUGGGCGGAAGCCUGACGCAGCAACGCCGCGUGAGGGAUGACGGCCUUCGGGUUGUAAACCUCUUUCGCGAUCGACGAAGGCCCGUCUUGUGGGCGGGUUGACGGUAGGUCGAGAAGAAGCACCGGCCAACUACGUGCCAGCAGCCGCGGUAAUACGUAGGGUGCGAGCGUUGUCCGGAAUUAUUGGGCGUAAAGAGCUCGUAGGCGGUGUGUCACGUCGGCCGUGAAAACCUGGGGCUUAACUCUGGGCGUGCGGUCGAUACGGGCAUCACUAGAGUUCGGCAGGGGAGACUGGAAUUCCUGGUGUAGCGGUGAAAUGCGCAGAUAUCAGGAGGAACACCGGUGGCGAAGGCGGGUCUCUGGGCCGAUACUGACGCUGAGGAGCGAAAGCAUGGGUAGCGAACAGGAUUAGAUACCCUGGUAGGCGUAGU